UACGUAGGUGGCAAGCGUUGUCCGGAUUUACUGGGCGUAAAGAGCGCGCAGGCGGUCGUUCAAGUCGCGUGUGAAAGCCCCCCGGCUCAACUGGGGAGGGUCACGCGAUACUGAUCGACUCGAAGGCAGGAGAGGGUAGUGGAAUUCCGGGUGUAGCGGUGGAAUGCGUAGAGAUCCGGAAGAACACCGGUGGCGAAGGCGGCCUGCUGGGCAGUAGCUGACGCUGAUGCGCGACAGCGUGGGGAGCAAACAG
rnacentral:rRNA from 1 species